rnacentral:tRNA from 1 species
GCGUCGGUGGUAGAGCGGUCAAAUACUCGAGUCUGUAAAACUCGCGCCUUCGGGCUACGCAGGUUCGAAUCCUGCCCGGCGCA